rnacentral:rRNA from 1 species
UGCAUAUCAAUAAGCUGAGGAAAAGAAACCAACAGGGAUUGCCUCAGUAACGGCGAGUGAAGCGGCAAAAGCUCAAAUUUGAAAUCUGGCUCUUUCAGGGUCCGAGUUGUAAUUUGUAGAAGAUGUUUCGGGUGUGGUCCCAGUCUAAGUUCCCUGGAACUGGACAUCACAGAGGGUGAGAAUCCCGUAUGUGACUGGGUACCUACGUCCAUGUGAAACUCUUUCGACGAGUCGAGUUGUUUGGGAAUGCAGCUCAAAAUGGGUGGUAAAUUUCAUCUAAAGCUAAAUAUUGGCCAGAGACCGAUAGCGCACAAGUAGAGUGAUCGAAAGAUGAAAAGCACUUUGGAAAGAGAGUUAAACAGUACGUGAAAUUGUUGAAAGGGAAGGGCAUGCAAUCAGACUUGCGCCUAGUUGAUCAUCCGGGCUUUUGCCCGGUGCACUCGAUUAGGCUCAGGCCAGCAUCAGUUUAGAGGGUUGGAUAAAGGCCUUGGGAAUGUGGCCCCUCUCGGGGGGUGUUAUAGCCCAAGGUGCAAUGCAGCCACUCUGGACUGAGGACCGCGCUUCGGCUAGGAUGCUGGCGUAAUGGUUGUAUGCCGCCCGUCUUGAAACACGGACCA